rnacentral:rRNA from 1 species
GAUGAACGCUGGCGGCGUGCCUAACACAUGCAAGUCGAGCGAAGCGGGGACGCGUGAGAAUCAUGUGGAUAACACCCCAUAAGACUGGGACAACCUCGGGAAACCGGUGCUUAUCCCGAUACUUAUAGCUGGUUCCGGGCUGGAUUAGCUAGUUGGUAAGGUAACGGCUUACCAAGGCAACGAUGCAUAGCCGAUCUGAGAGGAUGAUCAGCCACACUGGAACUGAGACACGGUCCAGACUCCUACGGGAGGCAGCAGUGGGGAAUCUUCCGCAAUGGGCGAAAGCCUGACGGAGCAACGCCGCGUGAAUGAUGAAGGUCUUCGGGUCGUAAAGCUCUGUAAUUAGGGAAGCGGUACCUAAUCAAGAAGCAACGGCUAACUACGUGCCAGCAGCCGCGGUAAUAC